CGCGUGAGUGAUGAAGUUUUCGGAUCGUAAACUUCGUUGUUAGGGAAGAACAAGUACCGUUCGAUAGGGCGGUACUGACGGUACCUAACCAGAAAGCACGGCUAACUACGUGCCAGCAGCCGCGGUAAUACGUAGGUGGCAAGCGUUGUCCGGAAUAUUGGGCGUAAAGCGCGCGCAGGCGGUUUCUUAAGUCUGAUGUGAAAGCCCCCGGCUCAACCCGGGGAGGGUCAUUGGAAACUGGGGAACUUGAGUGCAGAAGAGGAGAGUGGAAUUUCCACGUGUAGCGGUGAAAUGCGUAGAGAUGUGGAGGAACACCAGUGGCGAAGGCGACUCUCUGGUCUGUAACUGACGCUGAGGCGCGAAAGCGUGGGGAGCGAACAGGAUUAGAUACCCUGGUAGUCCACGCCGUAAACGAUGAGUGCUAAGUGUUAGAGGGUUUCCGCCCUUUAGUGCUGCAGCAAACGCAUUAAGCACUCCGCCUGGGGAGUACGGUCGCAAGACUGAAACUCAAAGGAAUUGACGGGGGCCCGCACAAGCGGUGGAGCAUGUGGUUUAAUUCGAAGCAACGCGAAGAACCUUACCAGGUCUUGACAUCCUCUGACAACCCUAGAGAUAGGGCUUCCCCUUCGGGGGCAGAGUGACAGGUGGUGCAUGGUUGUCGUCAGCUCGUGUCGUGAGAUGUUGGGUUAAGUCCCGCAACGAGCGCAACCCUUGAUCUUAGUUGCCAGCAUUCAGUUGGGCACUCUAAGGUGACUGCCGGUGACAAACCGGAGGAAGGUGGGGAUGACGUCAAAUCAUCAUGCCCCUUAUGACCUGGGCUACACACGUGCUACAAUGGGCAGAACAAAGGGCAGCGAAGCCGCGAGGCUAAGCCAAUCCCACAAAUCUGUUCUCAGUUCGGAUCGCAGUCUGCAACUCGACUGCGUGAAGCUGGAAUCGCUAGUAAUAGCGGAUCAGCACGCCGCGAUGAAUACGUUCCCGGCCCUAGUUCGCACCGCCCGUCACCCCACGAGAGUUUGU
rnacentral:rRNA from 1 species